AGCACCCUUUGGGGUGUGACUGCGUACCUUUUGUAUAAUGGGUCAGCGACUUAUAUUCUGUAGCAAGGUUAACCGUAUAGGGGAGCCGGAGGGAAACCGAGUCUUAAUUGGGCGUUAAGUUGCAGGGUAUAGACCCGAAACCCGGUGAUCUAGCCAUGGGCAGGUUGAAGGUUGGGUAACACUAACUGGAGGACCGAACCGACUAAUGUUGAAAAAUUAGCGGAUGACCUGUGGCUGGGGGUGAAAGGCCAAUCAAACCGGGAGAUAGCUGGUUCUCCCCGAAAGCUAUUUAGGUAGCGCCUCGUGAAUUCAUCUCCGGGGGUAGAGCACUGUUUCGGCUAGGGGGCCAUCCCGGCUUACCAACCCGAUGCAAACUGCGAAUACCGGAGAAUGUUAUCACGGGAGACACACGGCGGGUGCUAACGUCCGUCGUGAAGAGGGAAACAACCCAGACCGCCAGCUAAGGUCCCAAAGUCAUGGUUAAGUGGGAAACGAUGUGGGAAGGCCCAGACAGCCAGGAUGUUGGCUUAGAAGCAGCCAUCAUUUAAAGAAAGCGUAAUAGCUCACUGGUCGAGUCGGCCUGCGCGGAAGAUGUAACGGGGCUAAACCAUG
rnacentral:rRNA from 1 species